rnacentral:lncRNA from 1 species
AGUGCUAAGGAAACAGUGGCAGAAUCUUAAGAAGCAGGGGAAGGUUUCAUAGCAGCACUUUUAAAUGAGCAAAAUAUUCAUAGAUAAGUGUUACAAAUAAGCCUAAUUCUUGAGAAUUAAGAGACAAAUUGAAACAGGAAACUUUGGACCAAACAAAGGGAGCAUUUCUUUAUGUAGCUGGUAGAAAAUAUCAAUACACAUUAGAAAUGAUACAGGUAAAAAUUCAGUAAAAAUUGAAAAACCUAGUAGUAAAAUCAACAUUUAAAAGAAAUCAGAAUAUAUUGCUCACCACGUGUAGUUUUUAAUGAAUUUAUUUUUCUAGUAUAGUUGGUUUAUAUUGUUCUGUCAGUUUUCUACUGUACAGCAAAGUGACCCAGUCACACAUAUAUGUACAUUUUUUCCACAUUAUCCUCCAUCAUGUUCCAUUACAAGUGCCUAGAUAUAGUUCCCUGUUCUAUACAGCAGGAUCUCAUUGUUUAUCCACUCCAAAUGCAAUAGUUUACAUCUAUUAACCCCAAGUUCCCUGUCCAUCCCACUCCGUCCCUCUAACCCUUGGCAACCACAAAUCUGUUCUCCAAGUACAUGCAUUUCUUUUCUGUGGCAAGGUCCAUUUGUGCCGUAUAUUAGAUUCUAGAUACCAUAAGUGAUAUCAUAUGGUAUUUGUCUUUCUCUUUCUGACUUCAUUCAGUAUGAGAGUCUCUAGUUCCAUCAAUGUUGCUGCAGAUGGCAUUAUAUUGUUCUUUUUUAUGGCUAAAUAGCAUUCCAUUCUGUAUAUAUACCACUUCUUCUUAAUCUAUUCAUCUGUCAAUGGACAUUUAGGUUGUUUCCAUGUCUUGCUAUUGUGAAUAGAGCUGCAGUGGACAUACGGGGGCCUGUAUCUUUUUCAGUGAAAUUUUGUCUGGAUAUAUGCCCAAGAGUGGUUUUGUUGGGUCAUAUGGUAGUUCUAUAUUUAGUUUUUUGAGGUACCUCCAUACUGUUUUCCAUAGUGGUUGUUACCAAUUUACAUUCCCACCAACAGUGUAGGAGGGUUCCCUUUUCUCCACACCCUCUCCAGCAUUUGUUAUUUGUUGACUUGUUAAUGAUGGCCAUUCUGACAGGUGUGAGGUGGUACCUCUCAGUAGUUUUGAUUUGCAUUUCUCUAAUAAUUAGUGAUGUUGAGCAUUUUUUCAUGUGCUUGUUGGCCAUCUGUAUAUCUUUGGAGAAAUGUCUAUUUAGGUCUUUUGCACAUUUUUCAUUUGGGUUGUUGCUUUUUUGCUGUUGAGUUGUAUAAGUUGUUUGUAUAUUUUAGAGUUUAAGUCCUUAUCAGUUGCAUCAUUUGAAACUAUUUUCUCCUAUUCUGUAAGUUACCUUUUUUUUUUUUUAUGGUUUCCUUUGCUGUGCCAAACUUGUCAGUUUGAUUAAGUCCCAUAAAUAGUUUAUUCUUGUUUUUAUUUCUGUUGCCUUGGGAGACUGACCUAAGAAAACAUUUGUUGGUUGAUGUCAGAGAAUGUUUUGCCUAUGUUCUCUUCUAGGAGUUUGAUGUUGUUUUGUCUUAGUUUAAGUCUUUAAGCCAUUUUGAGUUUAUUUUUGUGCAUGGUGUGAGGGUGUAUUCUAGUGUCAUUGAUUUACAUGUGGCUGUCCAGGUUUCCCAGCAAUACUUGCUGAAAAGACUGUAUUUUUCCCAUUUUAUAUUCUUGCCUCCUUUGUCGAAGAUUAAUUGACCGUAAAUGUCUAGGUUUAUUUCUGGGUUCUCUAUUCUGUUCCAUUGGUCUAGUACCACACUGUCUUGAUGAUUGUGGCUUUGUAAUUUUGCCUGAAGUCUGGGAGAGUGAUGCCUCUUGCUUGGUUUUUGUUCCUCAGAAUUGCUUUGGCAAUUCUGGGUCUUUUGUGGUUCCAUAUAAAUUUUUGGAAUGUUUGUUCCAGUUCUGUGAUCAGUGUCAUGGGUAAUUUGAUAGGGAUUACACUGAGUCUAUAGAUUGCUUUGAGUUGUAUGGCCAUUUUUAUGGUAUUAAUUUUUCCAGCCCAGGAGCCUGAAAUAUCUUUCCAUUUCUUUGAAUCCUCUUUAAUUUCCUUGCUUAAUGUUUUAUAGUUCUCAGCAUGUAAGACUUUCACCUCUUUGGUCAGGUUUAUUCCUAGGUAUUUGAUUUUUUGGGUGACAAUUUUAAAAGGUAUUAUACUUUCUUAUUCGUUUUCUAAUAUUUCAUCAUUAGCAUACAGAAAUGCGACUGAUUUCUGAAUGUUAAUCCUAUAUCCUGCUACUUUGCCGAAUUUGUCGGUCAGUUAAAGUAGGUUUUUUUGUGGAGUCCUUAGGGGUUUCUAUAUCAUAUCACAUGCAUACAGUGACAAUUUUAUCUCUUCUCUUCCAAUCUGGAUACCUUUUAUUUCUGUUUUUGUCUGAUAUCUGUGGAUAGGACUUCCAAUAUUAUGUUGAAUAAAAGUGGUGAGAGUGGGCAUCAUUGUCUUGUUCCAGAUUUUAGUGGGUAGACUUUCUGCUUUUCUCCACUGGCUAUUAUGUUUGCUGUGGGUUUGUCAUAAAUGGAUUUUAUUAUGGUAAGGUAUGUUUCCUCUAUACCCACUUUGGUAAGAGUUUUUAUCAUGACCACAUACGUGUAUUUUACACAUUAAAUCAUAGGGGUUCAUAAUUAAGACGCUGGGGAAAAAAGUGCUUGUGAAAAAAUAUAUGUGACUUCUGAAGAAGUACAUGUUUUGGUUAUAUUUCUAAAAUAUUGAGGAUUAUGUAUUCACUCUAAAAUAUUGCUUUCAAGAAUAUAAAUGAGGUGAAAUAAACCAAUUCAAGGAAUUAAGGAACACUAAUAUUAAUUUAAUCCAGAGAGUUAAGAUAUCCCAAAUAGUAUUUUAUCAAUCAUGUUUCUUUAAGGCAGUAGGCAAUUGAAAUUAUUGCAGGUAUUGUUUUUGUAAGAUUUUCCUAUGACUUUAUAUUUGAAAAAGAAAAAAAAA